AUGUGGGUGGCUCAGUCGGUUGAGCAUCUGACUUUGGCUCAGGUCAUGAUCUCGCAGGUCAUGAGUCGGAGCCCCACAUC
rnacentral:tRNA from 1 species